rnacentral:rRNA from 1 species
GACGAACGCUGGCGGCGUGCCUAAUACAUGCAAGUCGAACGCUUUUUCUUUCACCGGAGCUUGCUCCACCGAAAGAAAAAGGGUGGCGAACGGGUGAGUAACACGUGGGUAACCUGCCCAUCAGAAGGGGAUAACACUUGGAAACAGGUGCUAAUACCGUAUAACACUAUUUUCCGCAUGGAAGAAAGUUGAAAGGCGCUUUUGCGUCACUGAUGGAUGGACCCGCGGUGCAUUAGCUAGUUGGUGAGGUAACGGCUCACCAAGGCAACGAUGCAUAGCCGAACUGAGAGGGGGAUCGGCCACACUGGGACUGAGACACGGCCCAGACUCCUACGGGAGGCAGCAGUAGGGAAUCUUCGGCAAUGGACGAAAGUCUGACCGAGCAACGCCGCGUGAGUGAAGAAGGUUUUCGGGUCGUAAAACUCUGUUGUUAGAGAAGAACAAGGAUGAGAGUAGAACGUUCAUCCCUUGACGGUAUCUAACCAGAAAGCCACGGCUAACUACGUGCCAGCCGCCGCCGUAA